rnacentral:rRNA from 1 species
AGAGUUUGAUCCUGGCUCAGGACGAACGCUGGCGGCGCGCCUAACACAUGCAAGUCGAACGAGCGAGAGAGAGCUUGCUUUCUCGAGCGAGUGGCGAACGGGUGAGUAACGCGUGAGGAACCUGCCUCAAAGAGGGGGACAACAGUUGGAAACGACUGCUAAUACCGCAUAAGCCCACGGGUCGGCAUCGACCAGAGGGAAAAGGAGCAAUCCGCUUUGAGAUGGCCUCGCGUCCGAUUAGCUAGUUGGUGAGGUAACGGCCCACCAAGGCAACGAUCGGUAGCCGGACUGAGAGGUUGAACGGCCACAUUGGGACUGAGACACAGCCCAGACUCCUACGGGAGGCAGCAGUGGGGAAUAUUGCACAAUGGGGGAAACCCUGAUGCAGCGACGCCGCGUGGAGGAAGAAGGUCUUCGGAUUGUAAACUCCUGUUGUUGGGGAAGAUAAUGACGGUACCCAACAAGGAAGUGACGGCUAACUACGUGCCAGCAGCCGCGGUAAAACGUAGGUCACAAGCGUUGUCCGGAAUUACUGGGUGUAAAGGGAGCGCAGGCGGGAAGACAAGUUGGAAGUGAAAUCUAUGGGCUCAACCCAUAAACUGCUUUCAAAACUGUUUUUCUUGAGUAGUGCAGAGGUAGGCGGAAUUCCCGGUGUAGCGGUGGAAUGCGUAGAUAUCGGGAGGAACACCAGUGGCGAAGGCGGCCUACUGGGCACCAACUGACGCUGAGGCUCGAAAGUGUGGGUAGCAAACAGGAUUAGAUACCCUGGUAGUCCACACCGUAAACGAUGAUUACUAGGUGUUGGAGGAUUGACCCCUUCAGUGCCGCAGUUAACACAAUAAGUAAUCCACCUGGGGAGUACGACCGCAAGGUUGAAACUCAAAGGAAUUGACGGGGGCCCGCACAAGCAGUGGAGUAUGUGGUUUAGUUCGACGCAACGCGAAGAACCUUACCAAGUCUUGACAUCCCUUGACAGGCAUAGAAAUAUGUUUUCUCUUCGGAGCAAGGAGACAGGUGGUGCAUGGUUGUCGUCAGCUCGUGUCGUGAGAUGUUGGGUUAAGUCCCGCAACGAGCGCAACCCUUAUCGUCAGUAGCCAGCAGGUAGAGCUGGGCACUCUGGCGAGACUGCCGGAGAUAAUCCGGAGGAAGGUGGGGAUGACGUCAAAUCAUCAUGCCCCUUAUGAUCUGGGCUACACACGUGCUACAAUGGCGUUUAACAAAGAGAAGCGAAGCUGUGAGGCAGAGCAAAUCUCAAAAACAACGUCUCAGUUCGGAUUGUAGUCUGCAACUCGACUACAUGAAGCUGGAAUCGCUAGUAAUCGCGAAUCAGAAUGUCGCGGCGAAUACGUUCCCGGGUCUUGUACACACCGCCCGUCACACCAUGGGAGUUGAUAACGCCCGAAGUCAGUGACCCAACUGUAAAGAGGGAGCUGCCGAAGGCGGGAUCGAUAACUGGGGUGAAGUCGUAACAAGGUA